GCCCGCUUGGCGAAACUGGUAGACGCAAGGGACUUAAAAUCCCUAAGCCCGCGAGGGCUGUGCCGGUUCGAGUCCGGCAGCGGGCACCA
rnacentral:tRNA from 1 species